CAGUAGCCACGGUAAUACGGAGGGUGCAAGCGUUAAUCGGAAUUACUGGGCGUAAAGCGCGCGUAGGUGGUUUGUUAAGUUGGAUGUGAAAUCCCCGGGCUCAACCUGGGAACUGCAUUCAAAACUGACUGACUAGAGUAUGGUAGAGGGUGGUGGAAUUUCCUGUGUAGCGGUGAAAUGCGUAGAUAUAGGAAGGAACACCAGUGGCGAAGGCGACCACCUGGACUAAUACUGACACUGAGGUGCGAAAGCGUGGGGAGCAAACAGGAUUAGAUACCCGCGUAGUCCCUGUCUCUUAUAA
rnacentral:rRNA from 1 species